UUGGAGGGCAAGUCUGGUGCCAGCAGCCGCGGUAAUUCCAGCUCCAAUAGCGUAUAUUAAAGUUGUUGCAGUUAGAAAGCUCGUAGUUGAAUUUCGGGGUUCUACCGUUGGUCGGGCUUUGUCUGUACUGGCGUGUAGAAUUUCUACCUUCUGGGGAACCAUUAUGUUAUUAAUUUAGCGUGGUGGGAAACCAGGACCUUUACCUUGAAAAAAUUAGAGUGUUCAAAGCAGGCUUAUGUCUGAAUACAUUGGCAUGGAAUAAUAGAAUAGGACGGUGGU
rnacentral:rRNA from 1 species